rnacentral:rRNA from 1 species
UACGUAGGGUGCGAGCGUUACUCGGAAUUACUGGGCGUAAAGCGUGCGCAGGCGGCGCGUUAAGACAGGUGUGAAAGCCCCGAGCUUAACUUGGGAAUUGCGCUUGUGACUGGCGAGCUGGAGUGUGGCAGAGGGAGGUGGAAUUCCACGUGUAGCAGUGAAAUGCGUAGAGAUGUGGAGGAACACCAAUGGCGAAGGCAGCCCCCUGGGAUAACACUGACGCUCAGGCACGAAAGCGUGGGGAGCAAACAGG